UACGGAGGAUGCGAGCGUUAUCCGGAUUUAUUGGGUUUAAAGGGUGCGCAGGCGGCACGGCAAGCCGGCGGUCAAAUCGCGGGGCUCAACCCUGCCCAGCCGUCGGAACUGCCGGGCUAGAGUGGGCGAGAAGUGCGCGGAAUGCGUGGUGUAGCGGUGAAAUGCAUAGACAUCACGCAGAACUCCGAUUGCGAAGGCAGCGCACCGGCGCCCUACUGACGCUCAGGCACGAAAGCGUGGGUAUCGAACAGG
rnacentral:rRNA from 1 species